CAAUAGCGUAUAUUAAAGUUGUUGCAGUUAAAAAGCUCGUAGUUGGAUUUCUGGUGGGAGCGAUCGGUCUGGCGCUUAGCGCGAGUACUUGCAUCGUCUCCGGCCAUCCUUGGGGAGAGUCUGUCUGGCAUUAGGUUGUCGGGCAGAGGAUCUUCACCGUUUACUGUGAAAAAAUUAGAGUGUUCAAAGCAGGCUUAUGCCGUUGAAUAUAUUAGCAUGGAAUAAUAAGAUAGGACUUUGGUACUAUUUUGUUGGUUUGCGCACCAAAGUAAUGAUUAAUAGGGACAGUUGGGGGUAUUCGUAUUCCGUUGUCAGAGGUGAAAUUCUUGGAUUUACGGAAGACGAACUACUGCGAAAGCAUUUACCAAGGAUGUUUUCAUUAA
rnacentral:rRNA from 1 species